GACGAACGCUGGCGGCGUGCUUAACACAUGCAAGUCGAACGGAAAGGCCCUGCUUGCAGGGUACUCGAGUGGCGAACGGGUGAGUAACACGUGGGUGAUCUGCCCUGCACUUCGGGAUAAGCCUGGGAAACUGGGACUAAUACCGGAUAGGAGCCAUUUUUAGUGUGAUGGUUGGAAAGUUUUUUCGGUGUAGGAUGAGCUCGCGGCCUAUCAGCUUGUUGGUGGGGUAAUGGCCUACCAAGGCGGCGACGGGUAGCCGGCCUGAGAGGGUGGACGGCCACAUUGGGACUGAGAUACGGCCCAGACUCCUACGGGAGGCAGCAGUGGGGAAUAUUGCACAAGGGGCGCAAGCCUGAUGCAGCGACGCCGCGUGGGGGAUGACGGCCUUCGGGUUGUAAACUCCUUUCGCUAGGGACGAAGCUUUUUGUGACGGUACCUAGAUAAGAAGCACCGGCUAACUACGUG
rnacentral:rRNA from 1 species